AAAUACAGACCGACCUGUGGACAGAUGGAGGGGAAGAAUGUGUGGUUAGUUAGGGAGGCUUGUUGGAGGAGUUCUCCAGCAAUGAGAUCCAGCUGUCAACUGGGAAGAAAUGAGAUCUUUUGCCUACAAGAGUAGUUCCCAAACUGGGCUGCAAGUUGGAAUCACCUGUGGUGUUUCAAAAGCAUUGACUCCUGCCUCCCCACCCCAGAAAUUCUGACUUAAUUGGAAUAAGGCCUUGACAUUGGGAUUUUACAGAGCUCCCCCAGUGAUUUGAAUUUGCAGCCAAGCUUUCCAACCACUGGCCUCGGUCAUAUUUAAGAUAUAAUGGACGGUGCCUGGGUGAGGGAACAGAGUAAACAGCGAUCAGGUGAUUAGGGUGCAGGACUAGAGUGAGCGUUUAUGUGUGUGGAGGGUAGGGUGGGGGGCUAGGGGUGAGGCUAGGGCCUGCCACCCCUUCUGCCCCCAUGUGGCUGUCCAGGGCACAUUCCACAGCUUGGCCGGUCUCCUCACAUGGAUGCUUGGAUUCUGCUUCCCCCUAGUGGUGGUUUGCAGUAUGGCAAGCUGUCACUCAAGGUUUCGUGCAAGUCCAGAGUUCUUCACAAACCUAGGAGAGUGAGUCCCAAGGUGUGGUCUUGACAGGUGGGAUACCCUAGGAAUCGUACGCAGUGAGCAGCUUGGCAGUGACUUCAGGAGUUUCUCCCUCACAGGAAAGUUCAGGGAGUUCCAGGUCACUGGCCAAAGAGCGGUCUGGCACAGAGCUGUGACUGGAGCUUAAGUGGCUUCCUGUGCUUGGGGUUUGAGGAAAUUCGUCUUAUCAGCCGUGGAAAGUGCCUAUGAUAUUGGGCAUCAGAAAAUGCAGAAGUAUAAGGUAACAAGCUUCAUAAUAAACAGCAGCCACCCCUUAUUCAGCUCUGUGUGGCAAGGAUGUGUUUUUACUUAUCACGUUUAAUUCCAGGCCAAGCCUAAAAGAUGUUAGGAUCACCUUACAAACCUAUAGCAUUUAAGAAACUUGCUUAAGGUCAUACAACUUGUAAGUGACAGAUGCAGGAUCUGAACCCAGACCGGUAGGACCACACAGUCCAUCCCAGCUCCUCUCAUGUCCCCUGCGGGACCCAGGAGGUCUCGCUUGCCCAAGGAUUUGCCCAAUGACUUCAGCCAGAAUCCCCGUUUGACUGUGUGUGGUCCCUCCAGAUGCCUGCAGCUCCUUCUGCUCCCUAUUGAGCAUCGACUCCGACACUUGCUUCUGCAGGGCGGCCCCUGAAAGCCCCACGUUUGGCAGGAAUAUCCCCUUGCCCCAUUCUGGCAGAAAGCUUCUCCCUGCAGCCAAUAACCAGGGCUGGCUCAAGCCAGAGGAUGAAGAGAACUCAGGAGAGAAGCAGGAAGCGUUUUAAGUUGCUGCCAGCAUCUUCCUCCGAGCUGCCUACCUUCCCCUCUUCUCCCCUGAAGCUU
rnacentral:lncRNA from 1 species